rnacentral:lncRNA from 1 species
AAAUCACUACAUUUUGUAAGAUAGGAAGGAAUAAGCACAAAAAAAUUUAUUUUUAAAAUGAAGAAAUUAAGAUUCAGGGUCACAGAGCUGAAAAGUGACAAGCAUAAAACUUAACCAAAGUAAAAGCUAAAGCUAAUAAUACCUACAUGUUAAAUAAAUACUGGAAAUUAGUUUCAAGGAGAGUGAAAUUGAUUCUCAAAAAUGCAAUUGUUUAACCUUUAUAACCACGUUUUCUUUUGUUAUAUGUUUGCUACUCUGAUCUUUUUUUUUUUCUCCCUGUAAACAGAUACUCUGGAUCAACAAUGCUGCUGCUGCUGCUAAGUCACUUCAGUCGUGUCUGACUCUGUGCGACCCCAUAAGUGGCAGCCCAUCAGGCUCUCCCGUCCCUGGGAUUCCAGGCAAGAACACUGGAUAAACACUCCAAUGCAUAAAAGUGAAAAGUAAAAGUGAAGUCACUCUGUUGUGUCAGACUCCUAGCGACCCCACGGGCUGCAGCCUACCAGGCUCCACCAUCCACGGGAUGUUCCAGGCAAGAGUAUUGGAGUGGGUUGCCAUUGCCUUCUCCAGGAUCAACAAUGAGAUUAAACUUUUAAUCAAGGAAACUAAAAAGUGGAUGGAAGCAUGCAAAAAACUGUUUGGUGUGUAUAAUUAUAUAAAUUGUCAAUGGGAAGAGAAUUAUACCCAGAAUCUUGUCUGCUAUGUUUACUGAAACAAAAUACAUUUAUUUCUGAGCAUAUAGGAUGACAAUGCAAGCAUAAACUAUGAAUAUGAUCAGUUACAUAAGUCUCAUUAUUU